AACGAACGCUGGCGGCAUGCCUAACACAUGCAAGUCGAACGAGACCUUCGGGUCUAGUGGCGCACGGGUGCGUAACGCGUGGGAACCUGCCCUUAGGUUCGGAAUAACUCCCCGAAAGGGGUGCUAAUACCGGAUAAUGUCUUCGGACCAAAGAUUUAUCGCCUUUGGAUGGGCCCGCGUUGGAUUAGCUAGUUGGUAGGGUAAAAGCCUACCAAGGCGACGAUCCAUAGCUGGUCUGAGAGGAUGAUCAACCACACUGGGACGGAGACACGGCCCAGACUCCUACGGGAGGCAGCAGUGGGGAAUAUUGGACAAUGGGCGAAAGCCUGAUCCAGCAAUGCCGCGUGAGUGAUGAAGGCCUUAGGGUUGUAAAGCUCUUUUACCCGGGAUGAUAAUGACAGUACCGGGAGAAUAAGCUCCGGCUAACUCCGUG
rnacentral:rRNA from 1 species